AGAAACUUAGGUUAACAUCAACCUAAACCAAGGACCUUCAAAGCCCAAAACAUGGGGUAAUAUCCCAUAGUUUCUG
rnacentral:tRNA from 1 species